UCCUUAGACACUCUAGGCGGCACGCGCGCUACAAUGGGCGGGAGAACGUGUUACUGCCACUGAAAAGUGGGGUGAAUCACGAAUCCUUGCCCGUGAAUGGGAUAGUUUGUUGCAAUUUUCGGACUUGAACUAGGAAUCCCUUGUAAGCAUGCUCAAGAAUAGCGUGUUGAAUACGUCCCUGCCGUUUGUACACACCGCCCGUCGUUUCUUCCGACUGAUACUCAUUGUGAGUUGCAAGGAUCCUUUAUUGGAAAAUUGCCGCGAAUGCUUUGUAUUGGAGGAAGAAAAAGUCGUAACA
rnacentral:rRNA from 1 species